rnacentral:lncRNA from 1 species
AUUAUGGAGGAGAUAUAUGUUGCCGUUCAAUCCACACUGAAGAUGAAAAGUUUCAUCAUAUGUACGCUUGAAUUUGAUUGUCUUGCUGAUUGUUUUCUAGCACCAGUGGGAGGCACAGAGCAACUGAUUACACAAAAGAUUGAGAUAUUUGCAGUAAAUGAGACAUACAAUGAACAUGAAGAACCUUGCCUUUCUCCCUUUCAGACUUUAUGCAAUUUAUUACAAGUUAGCAUCACUGAUACAUAUAUCCUUAGCUGUACAGAUACCGAAAUUUGCAUAGUUGAACUGUACCAUUUCAGUUGCAAGGAAAUGAGCAUAAAACUCUCAGUUAUCAUUGACAGUAACAUUAUAAAUGAAUGUUUGAUAAUAAAAAUAUUAUUUAUACCUGGAAUGAUUUUUGUUUUCUUACAUCUUGGUUUAAUUAUUGAAAAAGGAUGGAAUCAUAUGUAGUGAUAGUCUAGAUAUAUUGUUCUGAUCACCAGUCUGACUGGUCCUUUUCAUUCAGAAUACUGGGAUGUAUGUCGUGUUUUUUUUUACAGAUGUUAUUUGGUUGAUUGGGAAAAAAACAUAACAAAAAAAACCAAAUAGGAACAAAAAAUUGUACGGCUUGUGAAAUCUAUUAUCAUGCCAUUAUUAUGUUUGUGCCUUUCCAAAGUAAAGAGCAUCAUGCCUUUAUUAUGUUUUUGCCUUUCCAAAGUAAAGAGCCUGUAAUUCACUUGUGGUUUGUUGCUGUAUACAAUAUUUGGAUUUUUUGGUUAUUAUUUUGUACAUAAAUCGGGCCAUUAGUUUUCUUGAUUGAAUUGUUAAACCUUUUUCAUAAAAAGACCUUGUAUAGUUGACAGUGCAGUAUGAUUUUUUCUCAUUGCUAAGAGCCUUAUGGUUCCCUAAAGUUAUUAAUGUCUGUGUAAUUUGGUUUCUUGUGCAGAAUUAAAUAUCAUAUUGCA